UCGGUAAUUCCAGCUCCAAUAGCGUAUAUUAAAGUUGUUGCAGUUAAAACGCUCGUAGUCGGAUUUCGGGGCGGGCCGACCGGUCUGCCGAUGGGUAUGCACUGGCUGGCGCGUCCUUCCUUCCGGAGACCGCGCCUACUCUUAACUGAGCGGGCGUGGGAGACGGAUCGUUUACUUUGAAAAAAUCAGAGUGUUUCAAGCAGGCAUCUCGCUCUUGCAUGGAUUAGCAUGGGAUAAUGAAAUAGGACUUUGGUGCUAUUUUGUUGGUUUCGAACACCGAAGUAAUGAUUAACAGGGACAGUCAGGGGCACUCGUAUUCCGUCGAGAGAGGUGAAAUUCUCAGACCAACGGAAGACGAACCACUGCGAAAGCAUUUGCCAGGGAUGUUUUCACUGAUCAAGAACGAAAGUUAGGGGAUCGAAGACGAUCAGAUACCGUCGUAGUCUUAACCAUAAACCAUGCCGACUAGGGAUUGGAGGAUGUUCCAUCUGUGACUCCUUCAGCACCUUUCGGGAAACUAAAGUCUUUGGGUUCCGGGGGGAGUAUGGUCGCAAGGCUGAAACUUAAAGGAAUUGACGGAAGGGCACCACCAGGAGUGGAGCCUGCGGCUUAAUUUGACUCAACA
rnacentral:rRNA from 1 species